CACCAUGCUCUAAUGUUUACGGUGACUGUGACAGGCGACCUGGCGUCGGUAGCAAUUUGGUUCAACCACACGACUUUUAUCCAGAAUCUGACCCAGAGGGAGAGGCUGCUGAAGAAGUUCAAACUCUACAACUGCAGCAAGACGUUUCUGAAUGUUUGGUGCUCCUGUGGAAACUGUGCAACCAUGCCCACAGAAGCUGAGAAUAUCUGCUGCUAGGAGAUACCACAGGUUACCAGACGGCUAUGGGAGAUCGAGGAAGAUUUACCAUGUAUGGUAGACCGUCCUGGGUUGGAGCUUGCCUCAAUGUGUACUCCCUCCAGAAUGCCUGCAACAUGUACCGCACUGACUAUGGUCCUUUACGGUUGAGUGGAAUACACCAGUACGUUUUGCUUCUUUGUUAAAACAUAGUUUCAAUCUAAAUAAAAUAUGUUAGGCAGUCUUGUUUUACUUCAGUGCACAUAUUUUUACAAUGGUAAUAACACACUACAAAUAGAGUAACACACCCUCAAAUAAAUUAGUUUAGCUGCUCUUUGAUUUGUAAAGUUCUUUUAUCAGCAGAUAGUGUGCAUAUAAUAUAUGAAUUCAGAGGAGUCAUUUCUUUAGUAACAAUCAAGUAUUUAUUUACAUCAAAUGAGGGACUUAUAAUCAGUGAUAAUAAAAAAACUGUAGGAUUCACUGGAUCGGUAAAAAAAAAUUGUGAGACACAUCAUAGAUAUAUGUUUGAAAGACUAAAUGCCCUGUCCAGUUGUUUUAGUCAGUACAGGUAUCUAGCCUAUAGGAGCUUUGUGAGCUGGUGCUGGGGCUUCCUUGGUCGCAGAAUCCGGGUUGUCAUUCCAGCCUGCCUGGUCCUACGCAUCCAUGCCGAGUUUCCUGACGCCACAUGCCCCAGUACGUGGGUUUUAGACUGGCCCAUGAUAGAACCGGGACACAGAGCUGGAUAUGACCUCCUCCUUCUCAGGCCGCUCGAACUGUGCAGUGAGGUCCUCUGGGAUUUGGAUGGCCAAAGCAGCUUCUGUGUAUGGUCCCAGGUCAACAAAGACUUUUUCAAAUAUGAGGUCCACCACAUUCCCUGUUUGAUAAAACACAAAAGAUUUUGUUUACAUUUUUCACUUUUUUUUGUUGUUUUUUACAAAACAAUGACUGAAAGUCUGUUUCUAACUUCUUCUUUACUGUAUUUUGUUGUUGAUGGAACUGUCAUAACAUUAUACGUGCAAUACUCAAUACAAUGUGUACAAAACAUUUUUUGGUUGAAAAAUAAAAUAAUAUAACACACCUUUGGAAAUUGGA